rnacentral:rRNA from 1 species
AUUGAACGCUGGCGGCAUGCCUUACACAUGCAAGUCGAACGGCAGCGGGGGAGAAGCUUGCUUUUCCUGCCGGCGAGUGGCGAACGGGUGAGUAAUACAUCGGAACGUGCCCUGUAGUGGGGGAUAACUAGUCGAAAGAUUAGCUAAUACCGCAUACGACCUGAGGGUGAAAGUGGGGGACCGCAAGGCCUCAUGCUAUAGGAGCGGCCGAUGUCUGAUUAGCUAGUUGGUGGGGUAAAGGCCUACCAAGGCGACGAUCAGUAGCUGGUCUGAGAGGACCGUAAGCCACACUGGGACUGAGACACGGCCCAGAAUCCUACGGGAGGCAGCAGUGGGGAAUUUUGGACAAUGGGCGAAAGCCUGAUCCAGCAAUGCCGCGUGUGUGAAGAAGGCCUUCGGGUUGUAAAGCACUUUUGUCCGGAAAGAAAUGGCUCUGGUUAAUACCUGGGGUCGAUGACGGUACCGGAAGAAUAAGGACCGGCUAACUACGUGCCAGCCGCCGCGGUAA